CUCAAGGCAGUGGAUGUGAUGGGAGGAGCCAUUCUUAGACCACAGAAUUUCAUGCUGCUGGAAGAUGUUACAUUGACAGCCGAGAGAUAAUUUCCGUUUUUAAUCCAGAGAACAAGAGUCACUUGGGAAGUGACUAUAAAUGUCCUCUGGGUGUCCCAGAGAUAUGCCUCAUCCCCGUGCUGGAAGGAACACACCUCUGGGAAGGAAACAACUUUGAUCAAAAGAAGAGGAAGAAGAAGAAAUUGGGGAAGGAAGUCUUAUUAAGAAUACCCAGUCCUGCCAGUCCCCACUGGAGAACUGCGCAGGUCUUCAUGAACCUCCCUGUGGAUCCCCAAGGAUCUGAUACUUAACAGAUUCCUGCAAAACUCUAUUAAGCAUAUCAGUUCACCUCAUGGUUUAGUCACUGACUGAAAUGGAAGACAUUAGUUAAGG
rnacentral:lncRNA from 1 species